CAGUGGUUCACUAGGAUGAAAAUACUUAAGAACCCCUCAUCUACAAGUUCUAUUAAAAGUGAUUCCACAACUUUAAAAGUUUAAAUCUUUUUUAUUUACUAUCAGAUAUUUCAUCGGGUUCGGGUCCGGAUCCGAAUUUAAAAACUAUUCUAGAUCCUACCCAUUUAAAAGCGACAUAUGAAAAUUUUGCCUUUUCCUUCCUGGGUCAUCUGAAAAUGUUUAGUCACUUAAUCAGAAAAACUUGGUGCGGAGGCUGCCAGGGCAGUACAUGUUGGAGAUGACGAAAAGGUGGACAAGGCUGGUGCUAAUGCUAUUGGGAUAGAUUGCUGGUUGUGGGGAUCUGAUGUGAAAUCAUUUGAUGAGAUAGUAGAUUGCAUUCUUAUACAAGAUCCACAAUGAAUUGUGGGAGGUGCAGCAUAAGCUGCAACGUUUUGUAUACAUGAGGAAGAGAGAGAGAUUGAGAUACCUCUUUUUUUAAUUUUGAGAGGCAAUAAUUUGAGAUAACUAUUUUCUGUAUCUUUAAAAUACUUUCCUAAUUUUCCUCCUUGCGAAAAUUAUAAAAAAUGAUCAGCUUUACUAUUUUGUGCUAUGAUGUACUGAAUAGGAUUCAGUUCCAACAUUGUGUUCAGAUAUUAAGGAAUAGCUGCGGAAAUCGUCAUUUCAUCUUAAAAAAAUCAUCAGUAACAUACAAAUUUUUGUGUUCUAUUAACAUUUAUGAUUUACUUCCCAUUUCUUGCAGGUGGGAGCUCAUCACAUUCAUGGUCAUACAAGACAGAUAAUCGAGAAAUACAGCAUGUACAUUAGAUGGAAGGUCGUGGGACAGGAUCGCGGGGUUUUGGUCGUGGAACGAAAUCGGAACAGUAUGGCCGUGGCAGAGGAUUGCCGCAACAUGAAUCUAGCGAUUCUGCAUUGUCGGAUGGCUCGAUAUUUUGGAAUCAGUUUUCGCUUGGUUCCAACAUGAACCCGCCCUCAAACUUCCCUGAUCCAAGCAUAUGGGAUGACAUCACCAACGAGUUCCAACCACCUGGUUCCUUCCCAGCAGGUAAUGACAAUACUUCAACCUCGCAUCAAUUUGGAGCUCAGACAGAUUCGGCUUUGCAUCCGCUGGUUACACCUUCAGGUCAAUAGCAUCUUGAUCAAAGCUCGGUUCCAUCGACGUCGACUAGUUCUUUUCGUUCUAUUAUAUUCUCUGAUCCGCCUCAGCAAGCAGUGCGGAGCACCAACCUUCAACCAGAGGUGCACCCACAGUUUGAUUUAAACCCUUUGCUCGAGCUGAAGGUUGGUGCUCCGCACUGCUUGCUGAAGUUCAAAUCUUUUUUAUUUACUAUCAGAUAUUUCAUCGGGUUCGGAUCCAGAUCCGGAUUUGACAGCUAUUCCAGACCCUACACAUUUAAAAGUUGGGUUCGGGUCGGAUCCAAAUUGAGUAUAGAUAUAAAAUAUACAGAUUCAUAUCCGAAACUUUAAUGGAUAAUUUUUUUUGCCCGUACACUAUCCAUUUUUUAUUGAGUCCGGAUAGAAUCUGAAUCGGAUAUGGUAUAUCGAAUAUUUUGGACAGCUUUAGAAAUUGCAUAUACACGCGUAGAUCCAAGGAGAUCGAAUGUUGGCCAAAACAGUUAGAGAGACACAAGGAUAAAACUCAAAAAACUGCAUUAGUAUUUCGUAUUUCACUUUCUUUUUUCUCCUGUUUAGUACAUCUAUUUUCUUGCAAUCAAAAAAAGGAAAAAAAAAUACCACAAAGCUAUUGUAUUUACAAUAUUAUUUUUUUCCUUUUCCUUUUCUUUAAUUCCUGUAUGUAUUUAUUGAGACACCACCACAAGGCCAGAUUAAUCAACCUCUGCCUUUGCCCGGACCUCCACCCCGGCCUCCUGGACCACGUAUUCCCAAAAAUAUCUCCGCGAGAAUCUCACUUCGCCUCCGUCGGUUAGCAGCUUCUUGCUCAAUUGUCCGAAUUUGCACACUUCCGCUCCCCCGUCCUCUCCUACGAACUCCCAAACUCGUUAGAAUUCAGGCAAUACUGCUCCAGCCUCUUCGGCCAUGAACUCCAAGGCAUGUCGGAAUUUGGGCACUUCCACUCCCCCGUCCUCUCCUGCAAACUCCCAAACUCGUUAGAAUUUGGGUACUACUGCUCCAGCCUCUUCGGCCAUGAGCUCCCAGGCGUGUCGGAAUUUGGGCACGUCCACUCCGACCUCCUUGCCCACGGGCACCCAACCGUCCCCGAGCGAGGGAUAGUGUGGCUUUGUCCCCGAGCGAGGAAUAGUGUGGCUUUGUCCCCGAGUGAGGAAGUGACUAUUCCUCGCUCGGGAACGGUUGGGUGCCCGUGGGCGGGGAGGUCGGAGUGGACAUGCCCAAAUUCCGACAUGCCUAGGAGCUCAUGGCCAAAGAUGCUGCAAUAGUAGUGUGCCCGAAUUCUGACAAGUUUAGGAGUUUGCAGGAGAGGACAGGGGAGUGGAAGUGUGCAAAUUCGGACAAUUGAGCAAGAAGCUGCUAAUCGACGGAGGCGAAGUGAGAUUCUCGCGGAGAUAUUUUUAGGAAUGCAUGGUUUGGGAGGCCGAGGUGGAGGUCCGGGCAGAGACAGAGGUUGAUUAAUCUGGCAUUGUGGUGAUGUCUUAAUGAAUACAUACAGAAAUUAAAGAAAAGGAAAAAAGGAAAAGGAAAAAAUAAUCUUGUAAAUACAAUAGCUGUUUGGUUUUUUAAGAAAGUGAAAUACGAGAUACUAGUGCAGUUUUUUGAGUUU